GACGAACGCUGGCGGCGUGCCUAAUACAUGCAAGUCGAACGAAGCUGUUUUAACUGGUGCUUGCACCGACUUAAACAACUGAGUGGCGAACGGGUGAGUAGCACGUGGGUAACCUGCCCCAAAGCGGGGGAUAACAUUUGGAAACAGAUGCUAAUACCGCAUAACCACAGAAACCACAUGGUUUCUGUGUCAAAGAUGGUUUCGGCUAUCACUUUGGGAUGGACCCGCGGCGUAUUAGCUAGUUGGUAAGGUAAUGGCUUACCAAGGCAAUGAUACGUAGCCGAACUGAGAGGUUGAUCGGCCACAUUGGGACUGAGACACGGCCCAAACUCCUACGGGAGGCAGCAGUAGGGAAUCUUCCACAAUGGACGAGAGUCUGAUGGAGCAACGCCGCGUGAGUGAAGAAGGUUUUCGGAUCGUAAAACUCUGUUGUCAGAGAAGAACGUGUGCGAGAGUAACUGUUCGUGCAGUGACGGUAUCUGGCCAGAAAGCCACGGCUAACUACGUGCCAGCCGCCGCGGUAA
rnacentral:rRNA from 1 species